rnacentral:misc_RNA from 1 species
GCAAACUUGGUCAUUUAGAGGAAGUAAAAGUCGUAACAAGGUCUCCGUUGGUGAACCAGCGGAGGGAUCAUUACAGAGUUGUAAAACUCCCAAACCCAUUGUGAACAUACCUUUGUUGCCUCGGCGGCCUACCUGGCGGCUACCCUGUAGCUACCCUGUAGACCGCCGAAGGACUACCAAACUCUUGUUUUCAGUUGUUAUCUCUGAGAAUAGUACUUUAAUAAGUCAAAACUUUCAACAACGGAUCUCUUGGUUCUGGCAUCGAUGAAGAACGCAGC